GACUCUUGGUACCAGGAGUGGGUGGACUCCAGAAAGCAGGCGUUAGGACGGGAUUCUGGAGUUGGACCGCUCUCUGCCGGCUGUGGCCGUGAGGACACCUUCCCCCUUGGUAGGGGCGGCACCGCCCGCGGCACAAGAGAACAAACCGGAUGAAGUCGCCAGACUGUCGAGUGGAGACCAGGUCCCAAGAGUCCACUGUACUUUGGCCAGCAGGACUUGCUGUGACAAUCAGGUUCCAUCAUGUCAACAAGGAAUGUCAAAUAUGUGUUUUAGUUGAGAACCCAGGCUCAAGACUACAACACAGCCAUGAAAGCUGGAGCAGAACACAGCAGCCGGCCACCGUACAGAGAAAUCUUCAGCAAACCCAGGUUAAAACUUCAACAACAUUGUCUUCUGUUGACUGAAGAGGCAGCUCAAUAACAAUGGUCAUACCAACUUAUAUAUGCCAGCGAGGAGGAGAAAACAUAUGCUACAUGCUAUGGAAAUCUGUUACGUGUUUCAUUUGGAAUGCAGACAGGAUUGUAAAGGUACUGAAAAACACAUGUUCAGUAUGGAAAAUCAUGUUUGAUGUGUCCUAAUUUGAUUAUCAAGACAAGAAUUCCAAACUCAUAGUGUCUGUUAAAUUUACAUGUGCAGAUCUAAAAUAGUUUUUUUUUUUGUGGCAUAUUCUCACACAUAACCACUGAAUUCCUAGGGUACUGUCUCUAGCUCCUUUAUGCUGCUUGCUGCCCAGAAUAUUUCAUUAUUGAAUGAAUUAUUCAAGAUUUUAAAAAACUCACUGUAAUACAGCCAAGUACGUCUAUUUACAAUUGGAUAUAUUCUGAUAUGUAUUCUUUAGUUGGGUAUCAUAUACCUAACUAUCAGUACAAUAUUGUUCUUAGGGGACCUCAUUUUUACACACUUUGAGUUGACAGAUUGUAUCUCAGUAUGAGUUCCCAUGUUCCUUCAGCACCUUUGCAAGGUUUCUCCCUAUUGGAAGGGUUCUCACAGUACAACCUGGCUGCAGUCUCAGGGUUUAUCCCCGGUAUGAACCCUCUGAUGGACACUGAGUCGGGACUUCCUGCUGAAGGCCUUCCCACAUUCAGAACACUCAUAUGGUUUCUCUCCUGUGUGGAUUCGCAAAUGUAAUCUAAGAGUUGACCUCUGGCUGAAUGUUUUGCCGCAUUCAGUACAUUCAUAGGGUUUUUCUCCGGUAUGAGUUCUCAUAUGUAUAAUGAGUUGUGAGUUCUGG